GCUACCCAGCAAUGGGAUGCGAAUCUCGAAAGCCUGUCUCAGUUCGGAUUGGAGGCUGAAACCCGCCUCCAUGAAGUUGGAUUCGCUAGUAAUCGCGCAUCAGCCAUGGCGCGGUGAAUACGUUCCCGGGCCUUGUACACACCGCCCGUCAAGCCAUGGGAGCCGGGGGUGCCUGAAGCUCGUGACCGCAAGGAGCGACCUAGGGCAAAACUGGUGACUGGGGCUAAGUCGUAACAAGGUAUC
rnacentral:rRNA from 1 species